AUACGGAGGCUGCAAGCGUUACUCGGAAUCACUGGGCGUAAAGCGCGCGCAGGCGGGCUGAUAAGUUGGAUGUGAAAGCCUACGGCUCAACCGUAGAACUGCAUCCAAAACUGUCAGUCUAGAGUGUGGGAGAGGAAGAUGGAAUUAGUUGUGUAGGGGUAAAAUCCGUAGAGAUAACUAGGAAUACCAAGAGCGAAGGCAAUCUUCUGGAACACUACUGACGCUGAGGCGCGAAGGCGUGGGGAGCAAACAGGAUUAGAAACCCGGGUAGUCC
rnacentral:rRNA from 1 species